ensembl:lncRNA LINC02613 long intergenic non-protein coding RNA 2613
ACUCUCACGGUGGUGCAAGAGCCUCUCUGCAUGUUACGCUGUUAGCCCCUCAUCUGCCUCACCCCAGACCCAGCUCUAAGGCAGGAAGCGGGAGGGCAGCGGAAGGGGAAAAAUUCCAUCCUAGCUGCAGGGCUAAAUCUAGAAUUUAUUCCAAGUUAAAUGUAGAUGGAAUGCUAAUAUGCCAGUCUUAGCCUGCCUUAGGCAGCGAGUCCGGCUCAAAGACCAAUGACCUUGCAAGCGGAGAAGGCCAUCGCUCAGAGCCCCCCAUGGACGCCGACGCCGACGCUGAGGAAUGUUCAGCCUUUCUCCCUCCCACUGUAGCCCCCUGCUUCACCAGCCUAACGGAGCCUCUGAGCAAAGGUGGCCCCUAGAGAGGCACAGAAUAGCGACUCCUCAGAAGGGGCAAGUCUAAAUGUUUCUUUUUCUUUUUUUUGACUUGAGACCUUGCUUCAGAAAUAAGCUUGAGUCCUGAGGCUUCGCAUCGCUCCUAGAGUACAGGGCAGGAAGUGUGACUUCAGAGCAUGGGAAAAUCUCCAUGGGAUAACCACAUUGGUUUGUUUAGUAAACACUGAGACCAACUCCACCAUCCAGAGGCCUGACAGACAAAUGGCCUGAGACAGGGCUGGGAAAGUUUUGCUUCUGGUUGGGACUUCAGGAAGAGUUUUGUUUUGUUUUGUUUUCCCCCAAGGGAACAAGCCCUUGAAUCCGGGAGGCCAAGGUUGCGGUGAACCGAGAUUGCGCCAUUGCACUCCAGCCUGGGCAACAAGAGCGAAACUCCGUCUCAAAAACAUAAAAAGUAAAAAA